rnacentral:rRNA from 1 species
UUGAACGCUGGCGGCAUGCUUUACACAUGCAAGUCGAACGGCAGCGGGGGCUUCGGCCUGCCGGCGAGUGGCGAACGGGUGAGUAAUGCAUCGGAACGUGCCCAGUCAUGGGGGAUAACUACGCGAAAGCGUAGCUAAUACCGCAUACGUCCUGAGGGAGAAAGCGGGGGACCGUAAGGCCUCGCGCGAUUGGAGCGGCCGAUGUUCGAUUAGCUAGUUGGUGGGGUAAAGGCCUACCAAGGCGACGAUCGAUAGCUGGUAUGAGAGGACGACCAGCCACACUGGAACUGAGACACGGUCCAGACUCCUACGGGAGGCAGCAGUGGGGAAUUUUGGACAAUGGGGGCAACCCUGAUCCAGCCAUUCCGCGUGAGUGAAGAAGGCCUUCGGGUUGUAAAGCUCUUUCAGCAGGAGCGAAACGGUCGUUUUUAAUACAGACGGCUAAUGACGGUACCUGCAGAAGAAGCACCGGCUAACUACGU